rnacentral:rRNA from 1 species
CAAGCAGCGGAGCAUGUGGUUUAAUUCGAAGCAACGCGAAGACCUUACCUAGACUUGACAUCUCCUGAAUUACCCGUAACUGGGGAAGCUCUUCGGAGCAGGAAGACAGGUGGUGCAUGGUUGUCGUCAGCUCGUGUCGUGAGAUGUUGGGUUAAGUCCCGCAACGAGCGCAACCCUUAUCGUUAGUUGCUACCAUUAGGUUGAGCACUCUAGCGAGACUGCCCGGGUUAACCGGGAGGAAGGUGGGGAUGACGUCAAAUCAUCAUGCCCCUUAUGUCUAGGGCUACACACGUGCUACAAUGGUGAGGACAAAGAGACGCAAGACCGCGAGGUGGAGCAAAUCUCACAAACCUCAUCCCAGUUCGGAUUGCAGGCUGAAACUCGCCUGCAUGAAGCCGGAGUUGCUAGUAAUCGCGAAUCAGCAUGUCCGCGGUUCCGAAUACGUUCCGGGCCUU